rnacentral:rRNA from 1 species
UACGUAGGUGGCAAGCGUUGUCCGGAAUUACUGGGUGUAAAGGGAGCGCAGGCGGGAAGCCAAGUCAGCUGUGAAAACUACGGGCUUAACUUGUAGGCUGCAGUUGAAACUGGUUUUCUUGAGUGAAGUAGAGGUUGGCGGAAUUCCGAGUGUAGCGGUGAAAUGCGUAGAUAUUCGGAGGAACACCGGUGGCGAAGGCGGCCAACUGGGCUUUAACUGACGCUGAGGCUCGAAAGUGUGGGGAGCAAACAGG